CCUACGGGUGGCAGCAGUGAGGAAUAUUGGUCAAUGGCCGAGAGGCUGAACCAGCCAAGUCGCGUGAGGGAUGACGGCCCUACGGGUUGUAAACCUCUUUUGUCGGGGAGCAAAGAGAGUCACGUGUGGCUCAUUGAGAGUACCCGAAGAAAAAGCAUCGGCUAACUCCGUGCCAGCAGCCGCGGUAAUACGGAGGAUGCGAGCGUUAUCCGGAUUUAUUGGGUUUAAAGGGUGCGCAGGCGGAGGUGCAAGUCAGUGGUCAAAUUGCGGGGCUCAACCCCGUACUGCCGUUGAAACUGCAUCCCUUGAGUGCGCGAGAAGUAUGCGGAAUGCGUGGUGUAGCGGUGAAAUGCUUAGAUAUCACGCAGAACCCCGAUUGCGAAGGCAGCCUGCCAAGCCAUGACUGACGCUGAUGCACGAAAGCGUGGGGAUCAAACAGGAUUAGAUACCCCAGUAGUC
rnacentral:rRNA from 1 species